GAGUAUACUGCGAAACUGCGAAUGGGUCAUUAAAUCAGUUAUGGUUUAUUUGAUGGUACCUUGCUACUUGGAUAACCGUAGUAAUUCUAGAGCUAAUACAUGCAGGAGUUCCCGACUUCGGAAGGGAUGUAUUUAUUAGAUAAGAAACCAAACCGGUCUCCGGUUGUGUGCUGAGUCAUAAUAACUGCUCGAAUCGCACGGCUCUACGCUGGCGAUGGUUCAUUCAAAUUUCUGCCCUAUCAGCUUUCGAUGGUAGGAUAGAGGCCUACCAUGGCGUUAACGGGUAACGGGGAAUUAGGGUUCGAUUCCGGAGAGGGAGCCUGAGAAAUGGCUACCACAUCCAAGGAAGGCAGCAGGCGCGUAAAUUGCCCGAAUCCCGACACAGGGAGGUAGUGACAAGAAAUAACAAUACAGGGCUCUUCGAGU
rnacentral:rRNA from 1 species